UACGGGGGGGGCAAGCGUUGUUCGGAAUUACUGGGCGUAAAGGGCUCGUAGGCGGCCAACUAAGUCGGAUGUGAAAUCCCCAGGCUCAACUUGGGAACUGCAUCCGAUACUGGAUGGCUUGAAUUCGGGAGAGGGAUGCAGAAUUCCAGGUGUAGCGGUGAAAUGCGUAGAUAUCUGGAGGAAUACCGGUGGCGAAGGCGGCAUCCUGGACCGACAUUGACGAUGAGGAGAGAAAGCCAGGGGAGAAAACGGG
rnacentral:rRNA from 1 species